GCUUUCGCGUGCUAUCAUGCAAGUCGAGCGAACUGAUUAGAAGCUUGCUUCUAUGACGUUAGCGGCGGACGGGUGAGUAACACGUGGGCAACCUGCCUGUAAGACUGGGAUAACUUCGGGAAACCGAAGCUAAUACCGGAUAGGAUCUUCUCCUUCAUGGGAGAUGAUUGAAAGAUGGUUUCGGCUAUCACUUACAGAUGGGCCCGCGGUGCAUUAGCUAGUUGGUGAGGUAACGGCUCACCAAGGCAACGAUGCAUAGCCGACCUGAGAGGGUGAUCGGCCACACUGGGACUGAGACACGGCCCAGACUCCUACGGGAGGCAGCAGUAGGGAAUCUUCCGCAAUGGACGAAAGUCUGACGGAGCAACGCCGCGUGAGUGAUGAAGGCUUUCGGGUCGUAAAACUCUGUUGUUAGGGAAGAACAAGUACGAGAGUAACUGCUCGUACCUUGACGGUACCUAACCAGAAAGCCACGGCUAACUACGUGCCAGCAGCCGCGGUAAUACGUAGGUGGCAAGCGUUAUCCGGAAUUAUUGGGCGUAAAGCGCGCGCAGGCGGUUUCUUAAGUCUGAUGUGAAAGCCCACGGCUCAACCGUGGAGGGUCAUUGGAAACUGGGGAACUUGAGUGCAGAAGAGAAAAGCGGAAUUCCACGUGUAGCGGUGAAAUGCGUAGAGAUGUGGAGGAACACCAGUGGCGAAGGCGGCUUUUUGGUCUGUAACUGACGCUGAGGCGCGAAAGCGUGGGGAGCAAACAGGAUUAGAUACCCUGGUAGUCCACGCCGUAAACGAUGAGUGCUAAGUGUUAGAGGGUUUCCGCCCUUUAGUGCUGCAGCUAACGCAUUAAGCACUCCGCCUGGGGAGUACGGUCGCAAGACUGAAACUCAAAGGAAUUGACGGGGGGCCCGCACAAGCGGUGGAGCAUGUGGGUUUAAUUCGAAGCAACGCGAAGAACCUUACCAGGUCUUGACAUCCUCUGACACUCUAGAGAUAGAGCGGUCCCCUUCGGGGGACAGAGUGACAGGUGGUGCAUGGUUGUCGUCAGCUCGUGUCGGUGAGAUGUGGGUAGUCCGGCAACGGAGCGGCACCCUGAUCUUAGGUGGCCAGCAAUUAGUUGGGCACUCUAG
rnacentral:rRNA from 2 species